UCCAUUCUCUCUGCAACUGUUUGAGCUGCCAAAACAGAAUGAAGCAGAUGUCCAGGUUCUUGCCUAAGGCUUCCUAGGAAAAUUAACGCUGUUAUGAAACUGUAUGAGAGACAAAACUACAGAAAGAUACUCAUGCCUGGAUCAGGAAGGAAGAAGAACGCAGUAGAUUUUGACAGUGCUGGACUGGUAAAUGACAUGCCCAUUGCUGAGUGCUCUUAUGAGGCAGAACAUUCAGUGCAUCACAUCAAAAAUUCCUUUAGACUAUUGACAGAAUAUUAGAAAGAGCUAGAACAAGAUGGUAAACAUAACAGAUCUAUCAAAGGUACAUUUUAAAUUUCCUGUCUACAUUCUAACACUGAGAUUUGACAAUCAAGGGCAGGUAGCGACAGCAUGGGGGGAAAUGGCUUCAAACUGGAAAAGAGUAGAUUUAGCCUGGAUGUAUUAGGAAGAAAUUCUUUACUGUGAGGGUGGUGAGACGCUGGAACAGGUUGCCCAGUGAGGCUGUGGAUGCCCCCUCCCUGGAAGCAUUCAAGGCCAGGCUGGACAGGGCUGCGAGCAACCUGGUCCAGUGGGAGGUGUCCCUGACAGACAUUUUUUGCCCUUUCUGUCAGCUACAGCAAUGAAUUGUGAUGAAGCAAGAUGAAUUUCUGAGGCAGAAAAUAAAAUUGUAGCUGUACUCUUAUUUUAGUCUAUUUCAUGUCUGAUUGUUUUCAAGAGCAGGACGACGAGACUGGUUGUGUAACUCCACCCUUGAGAAGAACUGCCAGGAUCGUUGUUUAUGAGCGUGACCCAAAGGCUGGAACAGCUUCCUUACCUACAGAGUGUUGUAAUCCCGGAAAUACCGUGGGAUGUCUUCACCAACAUCUCCUUCCCAUCAACACCGCGUUCACUGCGAAGAGCAUCCCGGGAGAUACAGGACUGAGAAAUUAGGAUGGCAGAUAAUGAUCCCAUGGGCUUCAAGCAUUUCCCUCAAUAAAGUCAUGGCCACCAAGGGUCAGCCAGGAAGAUGGAUGUACCU
rnacentral:lncRNA from 1 species